GGCUGCGUGGUGUAGUGGUUAGCAUUCCUGAGGUAACUAUAGGAGGUCGUGGGUUCGAUUCCCGCCGUAGCUA